rnacentral:lncRNA from 1 species
UUUCUCAAAUUCUAAAUCCCUUCUUCGAGUGUCUGCAUAACUUUUCUGUCUACUCUAGGCUAUCUAAACAUUUUUCUUAAUCUUGACAAUUUCCUGUCGCCCACCUCUUCUCAACAUAUCAGUGACCUAUAAGGUCAGCCAUAGAAUGCCUCAUACGGAGCCAUACCAAUACUUGCUUAAUAAUUGUUAUUAUAGGCGAACUCUACCAAAGGUAGAUGGUCAUCCUAGUACCCUCUAAAAUCUAGAACACAAGCCCUGAGCAUAUC